rnacentral:rRNA from 1 species
GAUGAACGCUGGCGGCGUGCCUAAUACAUGCAAGUCGAGCGAACAGACGAGGAGCUUGCUCCUCUGACGUUAGCGGCGGACGGGUGAGUAACACGUGGAUAACCUACCUAUAAUACUGGGAUAACCUCGGGACACCGGAGCUAAUACCGGAUAAUAUAUUGAACCGCAUGGUUCAAUAGAGAAAGACGGCUUUGCUGUCACUUAUAGAUGGAUCCGCGCCGCAUUAGCUAGUUGGUAAGGUAACGGCUUACCAAGGCGACGAUGCGUAGCCGACCUGAGAGGGUGAUCGGCCACACUGGAACUGAGACACGGUCCAGACUCCUACGGGAGGCAGCAGUAGGGAAUCUUCCGCAAUGGGCGAAAGCCUGACGGAGCAACGCCGCGUGAGUGAUGAAGGUCUUCGGAUCGUAAAACUCUGUUAUUAGGGAAGAACAAAUGUGUAAGUAACUAUGCACGUCUUGACGGUACCUAAUCAGAAAGCCACGGCUAACUACGUG